rnacentral:lncRNA from 1 species
UUCAGCACUGUGUGUGGAACUUCUUAAAUGGAAGAACUGUGACUUACUUUGGAUGUCCAUCAACUGCAACUGCAUCUGACACAUAUUUGUGACUUGAAAAUGCUAGUAAGUUCAGGAAUGAGUUAAUGAAAAGACUAAAACCCAAGAAUUUUUCACCCUGGUUCUGUUGAACUGCUUACUAGUAAGCUGCCUUAGUUUUUCCAUCUACAAAAGGAGGCUUAUUCUUAUCUGCACCCUCACUGAGAUACUGGGAGAACUGAAUGAUAGCAUAUAUACAAAAUUAAAUGUAAAACUUGCAGUGGUAAGCAAGUGUAAUGAUUACUAUGAUUAUCAACAGUAUAUCUAGUUCAAAAUUGUAUACCCAGAGAAGCAAAUACUGAAUGGUAGAUGAAGUUUUAAGUUUUGUUGUUGUUGUUAUUUGUUUUCUGGAUUUGUUGUUGUUUGUUUAAUGUUUUUCUGUGGACUGGGAAUGUAUCUCAAUUGGCAGAGCAUACACACACACACACACACACACACAAAGAGUUUUGUUUUGUUUUACAUAUAUAAACAUAUAAAGGACUGAGAAUAUACCUUAAUGAUAGUGUGCCUCUGGUUUCAAUCUCUAAUAUCACAAAAAUAAAGAAAAAAAAGAAAUAAAAAAUUUAAAAAAUAUUCUUUUGGAGAAACUUUAAAUUGAAAUAACCUGCUUACCCAAAUAAUGUGAUGUUAAAAUAUAAAGGAAUUCUCUUUUGGACAGACAAUUAGAGCUGG